UUACUUGGGAAUUUUGAACAGAAAAGUGGUAAGAUGUGAAUUAGGCUUUAAAAGACUGGCUGCUGUAUUAACAGAGCAAGGAUAUUCAGAGAAAGACUAAUUUAUAAUGCAAUUGCAGGUAUUCAUAUAAGUGGGUGGUAGCAAUAGAGUGGUAAAAGCCUUUGGGAGUACAGGUGUUAGGGUACAAUGUACAAUGUACAAUGUAUCAUACUCCCAAAGUCUCCGGGGAAAAGUUCUUCCAGGAAGCACUGCUAGUGCUUUCUAAAAGCACUUCAGUUCAGUUCAGUCGCUCAGUCGUGUCUGACUCUUUGCAACCCCAUGAAUCGCAGCACACCAGGCCUCCCUGUCCAUCACCAACUUCUGGAGUUCACUCAAACUCACGUCCAUCGAGUCGGUGAUGCCAUCUGCCAUCUCAUCCUCUGUCGUCCCCUUCUCCUCCUGCCCCCAAUCCCUCCCAGCAUCAGAGUCUUUUCCAAUGAGUCAACUCUUCGCAUGAGGUGGCCAAAGUACUGGAGUUUCAGCUUUAUCAUCAUUCCUUCCAAAGAACACCCAGGACUGAUCUCCUUUAGAAUGGUUGGUUGGAUCUCCUUGCAGUCCAAGGGACUCUCAAGAGCCUUCUCCAACACCACAGUUCAAAAGUAUCAAUUCUUCGGUGCUCAGCUUUCUUCACAGUCCAAUUCUCACAGCAAUUUUUUGUGUGUGUGUCUUCUGCCAAUUGUUACCAGAUAACUUUGAUUCCAGUCUACUUCCUCAGCUAACUCCUGUGCACAUAACCUGAACCUGAAUCUCUCAGAACAGGUCCUCCUGUGGAAUGUCUGACCCAGCCAGCCAGAAACCCCUUCUGGAUCUUGUAAACUUCCACCCCACCAAAUAUUAGAUCCAUCGAGGCCUCCAGUUCUCAACCCCUCCACUAUCUCCUGCAUCUCAGAUCCCUCACUGCUUCACUUCCUUCUCUAAGCAGCAUGCACCACCGUUCAUCAGCCUUACUUACAACCCUCAGAACACUCUCAUCUUCUCUACCCCUUGUCUCCAUGCCCUGAGAAAUCCCCAACCUUGGAUUAGUCCAGCCCUGCAUUCUCCAUGGCCACUGCAGGCUGAUUCUCACAGUCAGACUUGCUGAGCUGGGCCACCUCCGUACAAGUCCCUUGUCAGUUACUCCCCACAUAAGUGAUUUCAAAACUUCCAUACUCUGCAGUAGAACCUGUCGCAUUCCUGUUCACCUUUAUCUCAACACAUACCUAGCCUCCUUCUGCACAGGAGACACAGAUAACAUUAG
ensembl:lncRNA